AACGAACGCUGGCGGCAUGCCUAACACAUGCAAGUCGAACGGAGCCUUCGGGCUUAGUGGCGCACGGGUGCGUAACGCGUGGGAAUCUGCCCUUUGGUUCGGAAUAACAGUUGGAAACGACUGCUAAUCCCGGAUGAUGACGAAAGUCCAAAGAUUUAUCGCCAGAGGAUGAGCCCGCGUAGGAUUAGCUAGUUGGUGUGGUAAAGGCGCACCAAGGCGACGAUCCUUAGCUGGUCUGAGAGGAUGAUCAGCCACACUGGGACUGAGACACGGCCCAGGCUCCUACGGGAGGCAGCAGUGGGGAAUAUUGGACAAUGGGCGAAAGCCUGAUCCAGCAAUGCCGCGUGAGUGAUGAAGGCCCUAGGGUUGUAAAGCUCUUUUACCCGGGAUGAUAAUGACAGUACCGGGAGAAUAAGCCCCGGCUAACUCCGUGCCAGCAGCCGCCGUAA
rnacentral:rRNA from 1 species